UACGUAGGUGGCGAGCGUUGUCCGGAUUUACUGAACGUAAAGGGAGCGUAGGCGGACUUUUAAGUGAGAUGUGAAAUACCCGGGCUCAACUUGGGUGCUGCAUUUCAAACUGGAAGUCUAGAGUGCAGGAGAGGAGAAUGGAAUUCCUAGUGUAGCGGUGAAAUGCGUAGAGAUUAGGAAGAACACCAGUGGCGAAGGCGAUUCUCUGGACUGUAACUGACGCUGAGGCUCGAAAGCGUGGGGAGCAAACAGGAUUAGAUACCCGU
rnacentral:rRNA from 1 species